CUGCCUACGAUGGAUGCCUCCAUAGCUUGCUCUCAAGAAGUUAGCGGCGGACGGGUGAGUAACACGUGGGUAACCUGCCCAUAAGACUGGGAUAACUCCGGGAAACCGGGGCUAAUACCGGAUAACAUUUUGAACUGCAUGGUUCGAAAUUGAAAGGCGGCUUCGGCUGUCACUUAUGGAUGGACCCGCGUCGCAUUAGCUAGUUGGUGAGGUAACGGCUCACCAAGGCAACGAUGCGUAGCCGACCUGAGAGGGUGAUCGGCCACACUGGGACUGAGACACGGCCCAGACUCCUACGGGAGGCAGCAGUAGGGAAUCUUCCGCAAUGGACGAAAGUCUGACGGAGCAACGCCGCGUGAGUGAUGAAGGCUUUCGGGUCGUAAAACUCUGUUGUUAGGGAAGAACAAGUGCUAGUUGAAUAAGCUGGCACCUUGACGGUACCUAACCAGAAAGCCACGGCUAACUACGUGCCAGCAGCCGCGGUAAUACGUAGGUGGCAAGCGUUAUCCGGAAUUAUUGGGCGUAAAGCGCGCGCAGGUGGUUUCUUAAGUCUGAUGUGAAAGCCCACGGCUCAACCGUGGAGGGUCAUUGGAAACUGGGAGACUUGAGUGCAGAAAAAGAAAGUGGAAUUCCAUGUGUAGCGGUGAAAUGCGUAGAGAUAUGGAGGAACACCNCUGGCGAAAGCGACUUUCUGGUCUGUAACUGACACUGAGGCGCGAAAGCGUGGGGAGCAAACAGGAUUAGAUACCCCGGGAGUCCACGCCCGAAACGAUGAAUGCUAAAUGUUAAAGAGGUUCCCCCCUUUAUUGCUGAAAUUAAC
rnacentral:rRNA from 2 species